CCUACGGGUGGCAGCAGUGAGGAAUAUUGGUCAAUGGGCGCAAGCCUGACCCAGCCAAGUAGCGUGAAGGAUGAAGGCCCUACGGGUUGUAAACUGCUUUUACAGGGGAAUAACAUGCGACACGUGUGGCUUUUUGCAUGUACCUUAUGAAUAAGGACCGGCUAAAUCCGUGCCAGCAGCCGCGGUAAUACGGAGGGUCCGAGCGUUAUCCGGAUUUAUUGGGUUUAAAGGGAGCGUAGGUGGGAUGUUAAGUCAGUUGUGAAAGUUCGGGGCUCAACCAGAGCAUUGCAGUUGAAACUGGCAGUCUUGAGUACAGGUGAGGCAGGCGGAAUUCGUGGUGUAGCGGUGAAAUGCUUAGAUAUCACGAAGAACUCCGAUUGCGAAGGCAGCCUACUGAACUGCGACUGACGCUGAGGCUCGAAAGUGUGGGUAUCAAACAGGAUUAGAUACCCGGGUAGUC
rnacentral:rRNA from 1 species